GCCAGGAACGCCAGCUUGUCGGACGACGAGGCGGAGGAGCGGGCCAAGGUGCUCUUUGAGCGCGCCGCCAAGCGCUACUUCCUGCGCUCGUUGCUCAUCGGGAAGCGCUUGAGGCCCAAACGGCUGUGGGGCUACUACCUCUACCCCGACUGUUACAACUAUGAUUAC